rnacentral:lncRNA from 1 species
AACAAUAUUCUUAAUAAAAUACAUGAAAUCCUCAAUUAAAUUGUUAAGACAAAUGGAAUUAUACUCUAGUGUUUUAUAUUCAUCAAAAUCCAUUAGGGGGUCAACAAUCUCUCCCUUUUUGAUGAUGACAAAACACUGAGUAUAUGCAAAAUUCGAAUUUUAAACAUAUACACAGUAUUUGAUCAGAUGUACAAGCAUAAUGUUUUGAUUAGAGCUAGAUACAAUGUGCAUAAUUCAAAAUAGUCAAUUUUCAGUU